GGGGGCGUGGCGCAACUGGUAGCGCACCUGCUUUGCAAGCAGGGGGUUACGGGUUCGAGUCCCGUCGUCUCCA
rnacentral:tRNA from 1 species